UACAGAGGUCUCAAGCGUUGUUCGGAUUCAUUGGGCGUAAAGCGCGCGUAGGCGGCCCUGUAAGUCCGCUGUAAAAGUCAAAGGCUCAACCUUUGAAAGCCGGUGGAUACUGCAGGGCUAGAGUCCGGAAGAGGCGAGUGGAAUUCCUGGUGUAGCGGUGGAAUGCGCAGAUAUCAGGAGGAACACCAAUAGCGAAGGCAGCUCGCUGGGACGGUACUGACGCUAAGGCGCGAAAGCGUGGGGAGCGAACAGG
rnacentral:rRNA from 1 species